rnacentral:rRNA from 1 species
UACGUAGGUGGCAAGCGUUGUCCGGAUUUACUGGCGUAAAGGGCGUGCAGGCGGUUUGUUAAGUUCAGGGUGAAAGCUCCCGGCUCAACUGGGAGAGGUCCUUGGAUACUGGCAGACUUGAGGAGGGUAGAGGAGAGUGGAAUUCCCGGUGUAGUGGUGAUAUGCGUAGAUAUCGGAGGAACACCAGUGGCGAAGGCGGCUCUCUGG